rnacentral:rRNA from 1 species
AGAGUUUGAUUCUGGCUCAGAGCGAACGUUGGCGGCGUGCUUAACGCAUGCAAGUCGAGCGGGCUUAUUCGGGCAACUGGAUAAGUUAGCGGCGAACUGGUGAGUAACACGUAGGUAAUCUGCCGUAGAGUGGGGGAUAACCCAUGGAAACAUGGACUAAUACCGCAUAUACUCUUGACGCUAAAGCGUAGUAGAGGAAAGGAGCAAUCCGCUUUAUGAUGAGCCUGCGGCCUAUUAGCCUGUUGGUGAGAUAAAAGCCCACCAAAGCUACGAUAGGUAGCCGACCUGAGAGGGUGACCGGCCACAUUGGGACUGAGAUACGGCCCAGACUCCUACGGGAGGCAGCAGCUGAGAAUCUUCCACAAUGGACGAAAGUCUGAUGGAGCGACAUCGCGUGAGGGAUGAAGGCCUUCGGGUUGUAAACCUUGGAAAUUAUCGAAGAAUGAGUGACAGUAGAUAAUGUAAGCCUCGGCUAACUACGUGCCAGCAGCCGCGGUAAUACGUAGGUGGCAAACGUUGCUCGGAUUUACUGGGCGUAAAGGGUGAGUAGGCGGAACUAUAAGUCUAAGGUGAAAUAUCGAAGCUCAACUUCGGAGAUGCCUCGGAUACUGUGGUUCUUGGAUAUUGUAGGGGAUGAUGGAAUUCUCGGUGUAGCGGUGGAAUGUAUAGAUAUCGAGAAGAACACCUAUAGCGAAGGCAGUCAUCUGGGCAUUUAUCGACGCUGAAUCACGAAAGCUGGGGGAGCAAACAGGCUUAGAUACCCUGGUAGUCCCAGCCGUAAACG